ACAAGCGCCGCCUGCUCGUCUCGCUCUCUGUCGAUAAAAGGGCGUCCGUCGCCCGAGCAGCGAGACGGGCACGGCCUCGUCACGUAAAAAGGCGGCCGCGUCAACGCGUGUCGGCGCGCCCUCCCUUUCUCUCUGCGUCUCCCUUUCYGGCCGCCGCCGCCAGCUCGGACGGAUCGAGAUCCCUCUCUUCCGAAACGACAACSACCGCCGCCCUCGGCUCGGACGAGACGACCCGCUGAACUUAAGCAUAUCGCUAAGCGGAGGAAAAGAAACCAACCGGGAUUCCCUUAGUAACGGCGAGUGAACCGGGAGAAGCCCAACGCCGAAUCCCGUCGCAAGUAAAAGGCUUCGGGACGUGUGGCGCAUGGGUCGAAGGCAGCCGUUCGUUUUCGUCUCGCGUAGUUCGGAGUUCCCUCGAUCGGGGCCGCCCGCGGCGGGUGCCAGGCCCAUUCGGUGCGGACGGCGAGCGACGGCCUUCGAUCCGAGAGUCGGGUUGCUUGGGAACGCAGCCCAAAUCGGGUGGUAAGCUCCAUCCAAGGCUAAAUACCGGGACGAGUCCGAUAGUCGACAAGUACCGUGAGGGAAAGUUGAAAAGAACUUUGGAGAGAGAGUUCAAGAGAACGUGAAACCGCCCAGGGGUAAACGGGUGGGACCGCUCACCGCGAUCGCGGGGGGACUCAGUCCGGUGCUGCCUAGGCACGAGCCCAAACUCGAUGUGUUCUUGAAAGAGAGGCCGUCGCGGACGGUCGUCGUCGUGUCCGCGGGGGGCUCGUUCCCCCGCGGGCCAGCUUUUGCGCCCGCGUCGCCGACGAAGGAGACGGGCCGCGCGGACAGCGGGAAGGGAAACGUGGCGACGACCGCGGCGGCGGCGUCGGUGGCUGCGACGGAGGGGACCCGUCCUCUCGAUCGCUGCUGCCGCGCCCGCCUGCCGCACCAGUCGCCGCCGCUUCUUCUUUCCUCCCGCUCCCUCCGCGCGCGACUCCGCUGCACCCGUCCCCUUCUCACCGCUCGGCGAUCAUGGCGCGGGCGCUUCGGCGCGACCUCCGCGCGGCCGGCACCGGACGCACUUCCCCUCCGGUCCGUCGUCGCGACCCGUUCCCGGCGUGCAGGUCGACACGCGGGCAUCUCCGUAGGCGGCAGGCGCUUCACCCGUCUGAAAACCCCCGCGCUCCGGCGCGGGGGCCGCCGGCCGCCGGGCCCGCGAACGUAACUGCCCCCUUCUGCCGGGGACGGAGGAAAAAACGAUCCGUUACACGUGGCGAGCCGGUCCGUCUCUAAUCCCGCCGGAAGUCGCGCGCGGGGGGCCCUCCCCCCCUCGGCGCCCCACCGUCUCGGGCGCGCGCGCGAUGAGAGGCGGGAGAGGACCGGCGCGGCCUCGCCGUCACGCACCUCGCCGGCGUCCGGGUCUCGUCCCGUCCCGGGUCGACGUCCCGUUCCGCUCCCGGCGCAGGUCGCCCGGCGACGCCCUUCAUCGGCCGCCCGCCACCCCGGGUCAGCGACGUGCAUCGGCAACCCACCCGACCCGUCUUGAAACACGGACCGAGGAGUCCUGGCCGUUCGCGAGUCGUAGGGGCCCCCUCUGACUAACCCCGAAGGCGUAGCGAAAGCGAGAGAGCGCGUCGGAGGGCGCCGACCGGGAGAGGUGUCGCGGCGAAGUCGUCCGGGGGUCGUCGGGGGUGGUCGUCGGUCUCGCGCCGUCGGCCUCUUCCCGCCUCACCCGCCUCCGAGCCGUGCCCGAUCCCGCCGGCGCGGCGUCCGGCCUUCCGCCGUCGCUGCCGCGGGCCCGCAUCUUUUCCUCUCCGCGAGGAGAAGGAAGGCUCGCGGCUGGCGCGCGGUCGUCUUCCCUCCUCCCCUAGACGGGGACCGGUGCCGUCGUCCUCAGGGAAUUGCCGGGCGCACGUCCUCCUUCCGCCCAUCGGUGAGAUCCCGCGGCUUGAACUAGUCCUAUUUUGUCGUCGAGUUUAGGCGCUGCGCGCGGGCGCAUCACCCCCGGGUCGGUUCCCCCUUUUCACGAGUACGACUCGGCCGACUCUGGCGUAGCGAGCGACCAGGGACCCGAAAGAUGGCGAUCCACGCCCGGUCGGGAUGAAGCCAGAGGAAACUCUGGUGGAAGUCCGAAGCGCCUCUGACGUGCAAAUCGAUCGUCGGAACCGGGUGUAGGGGCGAAAGACCAAUCGAGCCGUCUAGUAGCUGGUUCCCUCCGAAGUUUCCCUCAGGAUAGCUGGCGCUCGAUCGUCGCAAUUCCAUCCGGUAAAGCGAACGAUUGGAGGCCCCGGGGCCGUUCACGGCCUCGACCUACUCUCGAACUCGGAACGGGUGGAACGGGCCGACUCUCCCGAACGACGGAGCCGACCCCCCCGUCUCGCGCCCCCCCGGGGCGCGAGACACGUUCGAAUGCGAGUGCCAAGUGGGCCACUUUUGGUAAGCAGAACUGGCGCUGUGGGAUGAACCAAACGUCCGGCUAAGGUGCCUAACGCGACGCCCAUGAGAUCCCCGAAAG
rnacentral:rRNA from 1 species